rnacentral:rRNA from 1 species
AGAGUUUGAUCCUGGCUCAGGACGAACGCUGGCGGCGCGCCUCAUGCAUGCAAGUCGAACGGGGAAAGGGCUUCGGCCCGGACCUAGUGGCGAACGGCUGAGUAACACGUGAGUAACCUGCCCUUCGGUGGGGGACAACCCCGGGAAACUGGGGCUAAUACCGCAUAACGUUACGGUGCACAAGUAUCGUAACCAAAGGUUUCAAUCGCCGAAGGAGGGGCUCGCGGCCUAUCAGCUAGUUGGUGAGGUAACGGCUUACCAAGGCUAUGACGGGUACCCGGUCUGAGAGGAUGAUCGGGCAGAGGGGGACUGAGACACGGCCCCCACUCCUACGGGAGGCAGCAGCAGGGAAUUUUGCGCAAUGGGCGAAAGCCUGACGCAGCGACGCCGCGUGGGGGAUGAAGGCCUUCGGGUCGUAAAGCCCUGUUGUUGGGGACGAAGGGCGAAGGGUUAAUAGCCCCUAGCCUGACGGUACCCUUCGAGGAAGCCCCGGCUAACUACGUGCCAGCAGCCGCGGUAAUACGUAGGGGGCGAGCGUUGUCCGGAAUUAUUGGGCGUAAAGAGCGUGUAGGCGGUUCGGUAAGUCUGCCGUGAAACCCUGGGGCUCAACCCUAGGCGUGCGGUGGAUACUGCCGGGCUAGAGGGUGGUAGAGGCGAGUGGAAUUCCCGGUGUAGCGGUGAAAUGCGCAGAUAUCGGGAGGAACACCAGUAGCGAAGGCGGCUCGCUGGGCCAUUCCUGACGCUGAGACGCGAAAGCAUGGGGAGCGAACAGGAUUAGAUACCCCCGUAGUCC